rnacentral:lncRNA from 1 species
AUUAGGCCCUGGUUUGCGCGACCUCUGCGGUUUUAUGCCUUGCAGGAGUAAUUGCGUUUUGCGAAAGACGUGGUGGGUCCUCUGGUGCGAAAUUCCGGAUUUCCUUGGGUCUUCCGGUAGGAGCUGUAAUCAAUUGUGCUGACAACACAGGAGCCAAAAACCUGUAUAUCAUCUCCGUGAAGGGGAUCAAGGGACGGCUGAACAGACUUCCCGCUGCUGGUGUGGGUGACAUGGUGAUGGCCACAGUCAAGAAAGGCAAACCAGAGCUCAGAAAAAAGGUACAUCCAGCAGUGGUCAUUCGACAACGAAAGUCAUACCGUAGAAAAGAUGGCG